GACGAAGGUGGCGAGCGUUGUUCGGAAUCACUGGGCAUAAAGCGCACGCAGGCGGCCUCGUAAGUCGGUUGUGAAAUCCCCCGGCCCAACCGGGGAACUGCGACCGAUACUGCGGGGCUUGAGAACGGGAGGGGUGCACGGAAUUCCGGGUGGAGCGGUGAAAUGCGUUGAUAUCCGGAGGAACACCGGCGGCGAAAGCGGUGCACUGGUCCGUCUCUGACGCUGAGGUGCGAAAGCCAGGGGAGCAAACGGG
rnacentral:misc_RNA from 1 species